rnacentral:lncRNA from 1 species
GCCCCAUAAUAACUUUCAAGGAAUAUUAAUUAAGGACUUUGCACCCUUAAUUUAUUUGAUCCAAAAUCUUAGACACCCAAUAAUUGGAGUCCAAUGAAUCUAAUUCAUAUAGAUUAUUAGUAGAUAAUUAAGUUUGAAUUAUCUUAUCAAAUAAAAAAUUCAAAUGAAAAGGGAAAAUUGGGUCCAACCAUGCGCUAGC